GCCGGCUCCGGCAGCGCCGGCUCCUGGGGGCGGCCCCCGGAGGAAGGCGAGGGCUGGAGAUACCUGAAAAAACCCUUCUUGGCACACUAGAAGCUGAAUCAUGUUCCCAUUUACCAAGACAGCCCUGUACAAGGACUCGGUGAAAGGCCUGACCUUUGCAUUUCUGGAUCUCCUGCAAUACAGAGCAGCUCGCUGACCACAGAGUGCUUCUCGCCACAUAAAACUUCCCUUCAGUCCCAUAAAACUGGCACUUGUGGAUCUCUGCCACCUUCUCCCAGAACUCAUCAAAGGGCAUUACAGGCUAUCCUGAGCUGGAAGGGACCCACAAGGAUCAUCAACUCCUUCCUUACAGCAUGGAUUUAUGACAAGAUCAUGUUGCAUUACAAGCAUCUCUCGUUGUUCCUUCGAGGUCUGCUCUGCUUGGGAGACAUCCUAUUUUUUUUCUUGGUCUAUGACAAACUCUGGGCUUAAAGCAGCCUUAAAGACUUUGUUUCUCUCUGAAUACAGCUGGCAGGACCCCAAUGAAGCAGAGAACUUAGAGCAGAGGGCCCUGACAGAGAGGUGCACAUCGUGUUUUGACACAGGGUCCUGUCUCUACUCACCAGAUUUACUAUAAAAGCUGGGCAGGAAUUAUUUUCUGAUGUGCAGCAUGCAGGAGCAUGAUAAAGUAUUUCAAGGACACAGCCUGAGCAGACAAAAAUGGUUUAAAGAAAAUCCUCUUGCAUUUUGAGGGCACCACCUACAAGGACUCCCCAUCAAACAAAAACACAGUUGCAAGAACUUCUCAGGUAGUUCAUCAACCCCUUGAGGCUUAUGUUAGUUAGAGUGCUAGAUUUUUACCCUUAUUUACUGACCUGAUGAGUUAAAAUACUGGUGUUUGCUUUAAUCAACAAUUUAAUGAAUGUUUCAUCCUAACUAAACCAGUAUUAAUUACCAUAUACCAUCCUAGAUUAGCAGAGAAAAAUAGAAAUCAAGAUGUUUCAUGGUUUCAAAUGGUUGUAUAAAUGUUCCUGCUGGUAGCUUAUGUGGACUUGAUUUAAGGUUUAUGGUAAAUUCUUCCCUUAUUCCUGAAAACCCCAAAGCAACAUUCUGUCAGAUCUACCAACUUUGCCUGGCCUGGGGAAAAAAGCUGUAAAUUAGCAUUUAUUCCUAGUUGCACUAUAAACCCAGAUUUAUAUGAAGAUUUACAGGCUUCAGCAAGUCUGGAUAAGCAUGGCAUGAAAAGAGGUUUAUAAAAAAACUCCAUUUUAAGUAGAAGUCAUCCUGGUCCAUGAAGUUUUUGAGGCAAAGUUAUUUUUCAGUGACAAAUGCUCUUAUGAAAAUAAAGUGUGGAUCCUUCUUAAA